GCAGUCGAGCGGAACGAGUUAUCUGAACCUUCGGGGAACGAUAACGGCGUCGAGCGGCGGACGGGUGAGUAAUGCCUAGGAAAUUGCCCUGAUGUGGGGGAUAACCAUUGGAAACGAUGGCUAAUACCGCAUAAUACCUACGGGUCAAAGAGGGGGACCUUCGGGCCUCUCGCGUCAGGAUAUGCCUAGGUGGGAUUAGCUAGUUGGUGAGGUAAUGGCUCACCAAGGCGACGAUCCCUAGCUGGUCUGAGAGGAUGAUCAGCCACACUGGAACUGAGACACGGUCCAGACUCCUACGGGAGGCAGCAGUGGGGAAUAUUGCACAAUGGGCGCAAGCCUGAUGCAGCCAUGCCGCGUGUGUGAAGAAGGCCUUCGGGUUGUAAAGCACUUUCAGUCGUGAGGAAGGUAGUGUAGUUAAUAGCUGCAUUAUUUGACGUUAGCGACAGAAGAAGCACCGGCUAACUCCGUGCCAGCAGCCGCGGUAAUACGGAGGGUGCGAGCGUUAAUCGGAAUUACUGGGCGUAAAGCGCAUGCAGGUGGUUUGUUAAGUCAGAUGUGAAAGCCCGGGGCUCAACCUCGGAAUAGCAUUUGAAACUGGCAGACUAGAGUACUGUAGAGGGGGGUAGAAUUUCAGGUGUAGCGGUGAAAUGCGUAGAGAUCUGAAGGAAUACCGGUGGCGAAGGCGGCCCCCUGGACAGAUACUGACACUCAGAUGCGAAAGCGUGGGGAGCAAACAGGAUUAGAUACCC
rnacentral:rRNA from 1 species